CAGCAGCCACGGUAAUACAGAGGGUGCGAGCGUUAAUCGGAUUUACUGGGCGUAAAGCGUGCGUAGGCGGCUAAUUGAGUCGGAUGUGAAAUCCCCGAGCUUAACUUGGGAAUUGCAUUCGAUACUGGUUAGCUAGAGUGUGGGAGAGGAUGGUAGAAUUCCAGGUGUAGCGGUGAAAUGCGUAGAGAUCUGGAGGAAUACCGAUGGCUAAGGCAGCCAUCUGGCCUAACACUGACGCUGAGGUACGAAAGCAUGGGGAGCAAACAGGAUUAGAUACCCGCGUAGUCCCUGUCUCUUAUAA
rnacentral:rRNA from 1 species